rnacentral:rRNA from 1 species
AGACCCGAAACCCGGUGAUCUAGCCAUGGGCAGGUUGAAGGUUGGGUAACACUAACUGGAGGACCGAACCGACUAAUGUUGAAAAAUUAGCGGAUGACCUGUGGCUGGGGGUGAAAGGCCAAUCAAACCGGGAGAUAGCUGGUUCUCCCCGAAAGCUAUUUAGGUAGCGCCUCGUGAAUUCAUCUCCGGGGGUAGAGCACUGUUUCGGCUAGGGGGCCAUCCCGGCUUACCAACCCGAUGCAAACUGCGAAUACCGGAGAAUGUUAUCACGGGAGACACACGGCGGGUGCUAACGUCCGUCGUGAAGAGGGAAACAACCCAGACCGCCAGCUAAGGUCCCAAAGUCAUGGUUAAGUGGGAAACGAUGUGGGAAGGCCCAGACAGCCAGGAUGUUGGCUUAGAAGCAGCCAUCAUUUAAAGAAAGCGUAAUAGCUCACUGGUCGAGUCGGCCUGCGCGGAAGAUGUAACGGGGCUAAACCAUGCACCGAAGCUGCGGCAGCGACGCUGAUGCGUUGUUGGGUAGGGGAGCGUUCUGUAAGCCUGUGAAGGUGGCCUGUGAGGGUUGCUGGAGGUAUCAGAAGUGCG